rnacentral:rRNA from 1 species
AUUCGCGGCCUAUCAGCUUGUUGGUGGGGUAACGGCUCACCAAGGCAUCGACGGGUAGCUGGUCUGAGAGGACGAUCAGCCACACUGGAACUGAGACACGGUCCAGACCCCUACGGGAGGCAGCAGCAGGGAAUAUUGCACAAUGGGCGAAAGCCUGAUGCAGCAACGCCGCGUGAGGGAUGACGGCCUUCGGGUUGUAAACCUCUUUCAGGAGGGAAGAAAUUGACGGUAUCUCCAAAAGAAGCCCCGGCUAACUACGUGCCAGCAGCCGCGGUAAUACGUAGGGGGCGAGCGUUGUCCGGAUUUAUUGGGCGUAAAGAGCUCGUAGGCGGCUCAGUAAGUCGGCUGUGAAAGUCCGAGGCUCAACCUCGGAACUGCAGUCGAUACUGCUGUGGCUAGAGUCAGGUAGAGGAGAAUGGAAUUCCCGGUGUAGCGGUGGAAUGCGCAGAUAUCGGGAGGAACACCAGUAGCGAAGGCGGUUCUCUGGGCCUGUACUGACGCUGAGGAGCGAAAGCGUGGGGAGCAAACAGGAUUAGAUACCCUGGUAGUCCACGCCGUAAACGUUGGGUACUAGGUGUGGCGAUCGGACUAACGAUUGCCGUGCCGAAGCUAACGCAUUAAGUACCCCGCCUGGGGAGUACGGAAU